AAUCAACGCUGGCGGCGUGCCUCAGACAUGCAAGUCGAACGAUUAAAGCUCUCUUCGGAGAGUGUAUAGAGUGGCGCACGGGUGAGUAACACGUAAGUAAUCUACCUUUGAGUGGGGAAUAACAGUCGGAAACGACUGCUAAUACCGCAUAAUGCAGCGGCAUCGCAAGAUGACAGUUGUUAAAGGAGCAAUCCGCUUAAAGAGGAGCUUGCGGCAGAUUAGCUUGUUGGUAAGGUAACGGCUUACCAAGGCUACGAUCUGUAUCCGGUCUAAGAGGACGGUCGGACACACUGACACUGAAUAACGGGUCAGACUCCUACGGGAGGCAGCAGUCGGGAAUUUUGGGCAAUGGGCGAAAGCCUGACCCAGCAACGCCGCGUGAAGGAUGAAGUAUUUCGGUAUGUAAACUUCGAAGAAUGGGAAGAAUCAAUGACGGUACCAUUUAUAAGCUCCGGCUAACUACGUGCCAGCCGCCGCGGU
rnacentral:rRNA from 1 species